ensembl:lncRNA
UGUUUACAAGAGCAGCUGUCUACAUCGUUUGCAUUCACCAGUAGGUCAAGUUUUGAGAGAGAGAGAGAGAGAGAGAGAGAGAGAGAGAGAGAGAGAGAGAGAGAGAGAGAGAGAGAGAGAGAGAGAGAGAGAGAGAGAGAGAGAGAGAGAGAGAGAGAGAGAGAGAGAGAGAGAGAGAGAGAGAGAGGGAGAGAGAGACCUGUCAGUGUCACCCGGCCUCCCUGGUCUUUCUUGUUCAGGGUAUCUGUCACUGGAAUGCUGCCUUACCUCUAUCUGGGAUGGCUGAGGAGGAGUGACUAACAACCUUUGCAGACAGAGCACAGCCUCAUACUGAGUCAAGGAGUUGUAGUUGUCUGUUCCUUCUGUCUGGAUGGUUUCAGAGUUUCACUAUGACUUCACAGUUAGAGCACACUAGGCCUGUUGUAGAGCCAGUGCCUGGAUGUCUGGUGCCUCCAGCGGAGACAGGCAGGCCCUGCUUCAGGCCAUGCUGCAGAGGCUGAAGCUCCAGGCUGACCUCCAGGGAGGGUCUCUCCCAGCGAGUCCAGCCGCCCCCCACCAACAGACUCCUGGUCCCUACAGCAGAACAGCUCACAAUGGGUCGGGGAUCGCCCUGGUGGGCUCUCCUGGGAUGGGGCGAGGUGGGAGGAGCUGGGACUCAAGGGAGGAGUUUAGGAAUCCAGUGCUGGACAGCAAUCUGGAUACCUCUGGGACCGGUGCAAAGGUCAACGGAGAACGAGGUCUGGUUCAUGGACCUCUAUCGGAUAACAGACAGGAAACAACUAUCCUCAAUUUGGCUACGGCAUUUUCCUCCACUUCCUGUAAGGACAACACUGCUGAUAGUUGGGUUGAAGGUCGUGGCUCGAGACCAACGGUCUCCUCUUCUGCGGUGAGUGGCGGUCUGUUUCCUGUCCACACCCAGAAGGAGGCUGAAGGCACUUCCUCUGCAAGAACAAAUGGAGGGAAGGAAGGAAAUGACAUUUCUGCAAUUGAAGAAAGUGUUAUUGAUGAUGCUAUGAGUGGUGCAGUAGGAGAUGACGGUUCUCUCGCGGGGAAUCCCACUUCUGCCUCUCAGUACCACAGGAGCAGCCACAGCAGUGACCCAGGGGGGUUAGCUGGGUCUGGAGCCCUACUGUCACCCAUAGGGAGCCUGACCCGGGACACUUCUCCCUCCACACACCAGGGCUCCUCGCCUUGGCUCUCUGCACGGCCCUUAAAAGGUCAGAGCCCAGGAAGGGGAGAACCCCCCGCGGCACAUAAAGGGAAACCAGGGCCCCUGGCACUGAGCCACACCGGGGGGACUGGCCCCAACACGGCCGGCAGCCCUGUGGCACCACUGCAGAGGGACAGAGCAUCUGGGAGUAGAACUAAAAGAUGGACACAGAAGAUCAAGGAGAAGUUUAGGGAGAGGGGUGGGAGUCUGAAGAAAAGAAAAAAAGAAGAAGGCAAAGAAGAAGUAAAGGUGGAGGAAGAGGGCAAAAUUUCGACUCAUAAUGAGUAUCACAACACAAACGUCAUCAGCAGUGCGCCAAGCAGCACUGUGGAACCAACGAGCCAACCCACUGACCCAGUCUCUACAGACGUAGAGGACAGCACUGUGGACAUGAGAUCGAAUGACUUUAACAUCGGGCUGGGUUCCUUCAGCCUCCUGGAGGAGAUUAAAACCGGUCAAUACUGGGCCACCUUCCUGAGCCCCGCCCUGUCAGAGGGCUCCACCUAUCAGAGACCAGCACAACAGCACGCUGGCCAAUCACAAAAUGCUGCCGUGACCGGACUCCAAGAAAACAACCAAUCAUCCGGAGGCGUCGACCUACUAGGGAACCCAGUUGUAGCUGUCAUGGCAACGUCUCCUGCGUACCUUCCGGUGCCCGUCACCAUGGACACCUCGGAACCGGACGGAUCUGGAGUGGUGAUGGAGCACGAGGCCAGAGCAGAACCAAUGGAACAACACGGUCAAUCAGAGCCCUCUGAAGAGCCCGGACCCACGCCAGGAGGCGGACCUCAGGUUCACUCACACUUUAUCAACAACGCAGGACUUGUGAACAACACGAUCCUGUUGAGCCAGAUCCGGAGCAGGAAGCGGGUCCACCGGCGGUCCCUGGAGCGAACAGGAAGCGGAGGGACAGCGGGAGGAGGGGGAGAGGGGAGAAGGGCCUCAGGGGGGAGAGGGGCCUCUGGAGGUAGGGGAGCAGAGCCCAGUGAAGAACCAACUGUCUAG